GGGAAAGUGUAAAACUUUAACUGUGUGACAUUAAGAUGUGUAGAAUUAGAAACCAAAAGAGAAAUAUAGCAAAAUGCAGUGCAUGACCCAUUGACAGUUGAAGGAAAGCCAUCAUGCUGGAAUAGACUGGCAGUAAAGCGAUAUAGCAUCAGAAUUCCUUUGAGACAACAUGAAAAAACCGAUGUGAGCCAUGAUGAAGUAAGCAG
rnacentral:lncRNA from 1 species